rnacentral:rRNA from 1 species
CGAACGGUCGCGUAACACGUGAGGAACCCACCCCGAUCUCAGGAAUAACAGUGGGAAACCACUGCUAAUACCGGAUGCCUUCCUCGAGUCUCAUGGCUCGGCGAAGAAAGGUUUACCGGAUCGGGAGGGUCUCGCGGCCUAUCAGCUUGUUGGCGGGGUAACGGCCCACCAAGGCGUCGACGGGUAGCUGGUCUGAGAGGAUGAUCAGCCACACUGGGACUGAGACACGGCCCAG